rnacentral:tRNA from 1 species
UCCCUGGUGGCUCAAUUAGUAAAGAAUCUGCCUGCAAUGCGGGAGACCUGGGUUUGAUCCCUGGCUUGGGAA